GGAAGGCUGAGAACCACUGCUGUACAGACAUCCAAACACAGAAUCCGGCUUCUCAGAUAUGUCUGGGAUCCCUUCAUCGUUGUCCCCAUACUCCUAGGGAGGCACAGCCCCACAUCAGGACACACACUCACAUCUCUGUGCAACGGGGAACCGUGUUCUUCUUUCCCUGUCAUUUCUAUUUCCACACACUAUGCUAUAUUUCCAAAUUUGCUUUUUUUAUAUCUUCAUCACUCAGCUUAAGGAUGUGUCUGAUCCGUUGACCAAACUUUUUUCUGUUUUGUGAUUCUUCUGCAGGGUCUGGGUCACUGCUCUGCACACACAACCACAGACAGUACAACAGCAGCCUCCAGUCCCUUGUUGUUGAACUUUGAGGAUGCUGGGCAUCUAAGGACCCUGUCUAAAACAAAACAAAUCUUGACCAUGGAAGAGUAGUAUAAGUAAAAAGGGGAGACAGAAAUGUCUUUUGUGGCUCCAGAUAUCUGCUAGAUCUUUCAGUAUAGCUAUAAAUUUCUUCAAAAGACUUCAAUGACCCAACAAAAUCCUCUCGACACUGUGACACUUACAUUAUCAACUUCAGCGUCCAUACUUGAGAGGCAUUCAAUGAAGUUCCAAAAGAAACAUCAACAAAAAAAUGUUUUAAGUAAACUUAUGAUUUGGGAUUGGGUCACAUUCAUAGUUAUCCUUGAGCAGAACAGCUAAGGAGGCAAAAGAAGAAAACUACACGGACUUUAUCCUGCAGAAGGCUGUAUUAAACGAUGUUACUUAAGAGCUUCCAGCAUGCUGGUUUCCUACUAAUAAAUUCCAAAAUUUUCCAAAAAUGUUCACCUGCAAUGCUGUGUUGGGGUAGUCCCACGGCCAGACUGUAGUACACAGGUACCUGCUGUCCUGUAAAAGAGGACAUUGUCUGUACAUAGGUGGACAAAGAAAGUAACUUUGUUGACAAGGUCUAUCCUGGUAGCAGGAGACAGUGU